UUUGCUGCUGCACCAAGGUCACAGACAAGGAACAAACUCAGCCUUACCUGGAAGUCAGUGGCAAAGCAUAAAGAGUCUGGACCUAGCCUAAACAAGGGUAAAGAGGUAGUAAUUACCUUCACAGCUGAGACAAAUCAUUUCCCUCUUCCUGGUGCCUCCAGCCAGCUUUACCUUGCAGAAUAGAAACUCCUCAUUUUGCCUGACUUACCACUAUUGAAAAUUUCUCUUCAGUCUCCAUUCACAUUGAUCUAGGCUGCUGCUGAAGGAGUGACUGACAAGCUCGGAACAGAAAAUCACAAAACCAAGAAGAAAAAAGACAGCAAGUCAGCAUGAAACUUUCCAGAGGCCAGCACGACUGAGAAACAGGCUCACAGAAACAUAGAAAAGAAUACAGAAAAUAAGUCAGGUGUGCAGUGGAUGUUAAUGCAGGGGACAGUCCCUAUUUCUUUUAAGCACAAUAUCUAAAAAGGAGAAUAGGAAUAUUAAGGGGACUGAUUAUGAAAACACUCAAGCAAGUUUACAUGAAGUUCCUACUGGUAAAUUAGAACAGAUUCUAUGAUCUCUGGGACACUUAAAGUGUUGUAACUCUUCCAGCUCUUUGCUGCAUUUAACUCAUUAGUCAGGCUUCACUAAAGUAGCUGCUGG
rnacentral:lncRNA from 1 species